rnacentral:rRNA from 1 species
CACUCCUACGGGAGGCAGCAGUGGGGAAUUUUGGACAAUGGGCGAAAGCCUGAUCCAGCAAUGCCGCGUGUGUGAAGAAGGCCUUCGGGUUGUAAAGCACUUUUGUCCGGAAAGAAAUCCUUGGCUCUAAUACAGUCGGGGGAUGACGGUACCGGAAGAAUAAGCACCGGCUAACUACGUGCCAGCAGCCGCGGUAAUACGUAGGGUGCGAGCGUUAAUCGGAAUUACUGGGCGUAAAGCGUGCGCAGGCGGUUUGCUAAGACCGAUGUGAAAUCCCCGGGCUCAACCUGGGAACUGCAUUGGUGACUGGCAGGCUAGAGUAUGGCAGAGGGGGGUAGAAUUCCACGUGUAGCAGUGAAAUGCGUAGAGAUGUGGAGGAAUACCGAUGGCGAAGGCAGCCCCCUGGGCCAAUACUGACGCUCAUGCACGAAAGCGUGGGGAGCAAACAGGAUUAGAAACCCCGGUAGUCCCAUG